AAGAGGAAGAGAUGGAGGCCAUGCUGGAGGUAGAGGAAGAGGAAGAGGAAGACAAGAACUUGCUCAAAGAGGACCGAAUCUGACAAAUGAGAUCCGCACAACACUGGUUGACCACGUUGUCAACCACGGCCUGACGCUGAGGGAGGCUGGACUGCGAGUACAGCCAAAUCUAAGCCGAUACACAGUGGCAAGUGUGAUAAGAACAUUUCGACUGGAAAAUAGGAUUGAGGGUCAGGAACGACGAGGGGGAAGGCCUCCUAUGUUCACAGAACAGCAAGAGAGGGAGAUAGUAAACAUGGUUUUGGCCAACAAUGCUAUAACCCUCAAUCAGCUCCAAGCUAACAUUGUCAAUAACCACGUUGGUUUCAACAAUAUCCAUCAGGUCUCAACAUCAACACUGGCAUGCAUCCUAUUAAAAAAACAUAUUCAAAUGAAGAAAAGUUAUGGAGUGCCUUUCGAGCGCAAUUUGGAAAGGGUGAAACGACUGCGGCAUGAUUAUGCAGAGAGAGUUUUACAAAUGGAUGGAGAGGAGAUCCAGCAUGAGUUCAUUUACGUAGAUGCGGCUGGGUUCAACCUGACGAGAACAUGAAAGAGGGGAAGAAACAUCAUUGGCCACAGGGCUCUAGUCAAUGUCCCAGGGCAACGUGGGGGUAAUAUAACACUCUGUGCAGCCAUUACACAGAAUGGGGUCCUCCACCGCCAUGCCCAUAUGGGCCCUUACAACACAGCACUCAUACUUACAUUCUUGGACCAAUUGCACAACAUAACAGCAGCAAAUCAAAUCGAUCAUAUGCAAUACAUUGUUGUCUGGGACAAUGUGUCUUUCCACCGCUCUGCUCUGGUUCAGAACUGGUUUCAGCAACAUCCGCAUUUCACCGUCCUAUAUCUUCCACCAUA